AGAAUGUCGAGCGGAGCAAACUAACAGAGUUAGUGGGUGUGUGAGGAGGAAUAGAGCCAGCGGAGUGGGCAGGGAGGAUUGAUUAAGACACAGUGCAGGCCGCAGACCCCAAAUAACAAGGGUGUUAGAAGAGGAGGGCAAACUCGAGGGAGAUGAGAAAACAAAACCAAACAUCACGUCAAAAUCUGAAAGUCACUUGAUUCACCAGGACCUGAAUAUCACCAGCCUUUGAACAUACCAGCAUCUAUUGUGAUCCCCAGUUGCCUGUGGAGAAGAUGAUGUUUGACCUUCUUGAACCGCUGCAGUCCGUGUGGUGAAGGUGCUCCCACAAUGCUGUUAGGGUGUUAGAAGGGGAGGAUUUACAGUCAGGAAACUCAAUCCAAACAUCACAUCAGGAUCUGACUGAGCCGCCCAAUUUAUUGUAAUCCGAAUAUCUUUGGAUUUUGAACAUGGAAGGAAAAAGCACCGUUCACAGUGGGGAGAAACCGUACACGUGUUCUGUGUGUGGACGAGGCUUCAGCCGAUCACCUGGCCUGUCAGAACAUAAAUGCAGCCAUAGCGAUGAGAAACUGUGGAAAUGUUGGGACUGUGGAAAGGGAUUCACUUACCCCUCUGACCUGGAAACUCAUCGACGCAGUCACAUUGGGGAGAGGCCGUUCACCUGCUCCGAGUGUGGGAAGGGAUUCACUCAGUUACACCACC